rnacentral:rRNA from 1 species
UACGUAGGGUGCAAGCGUUAUCCGGAUUUACUGGGCGUAAAGAGUUCCGUCGGUGUUCUCUGAAGUCGCUUGUUCAAUCCUAGGGCUCAACUCUAGACUGGCAAGCGAAACUCAGAGAAUUGAGUCUGUGAGGGGAAGCUAGAAUUCUCGGUGGAGGGGUGAAAUCCGUAGAUAUCGAGAGGAAUACCAGCCGCGAAGGCGGGCUUCUAGCACAGUACUGACACUCAGGGACGAAAGCUUGGGGAGCAAA